CGGCGGGGGACUGGUUGAUUGCGUGGUGGUCGGGGGCAGGAUCGGCGGGCUCUGCAUCGCCGCGCGGAGCCCGUUCUUCGGGACCGCGUUCGCGAAGAGCGAGAGCGGGGCGAGGCUCGAAUCGGCGUGACUUCUUUCUUGGGUGUUCUUCCCCUUUUUUUUUUCUGGGGAAAAGGAAGAAAAUGGAGAGGAGCACGCCGGUGAGGAAGCCUCACACUUCGACUUCAGAUCUGCUCACGUGGUCGGAGACUCCGCCUCCCCACGAUUCGGUCGCGCCGGGUUCGGCUUCCUCUCGCUCCAAUGCUCGCUCUCACCAGCCUUCGGAUGGGAUCAGCAAGGUGGUGUUUGGAGGUCAAGUGACUGCAGAGAAAUCUGAGAAUUUGAACAAAA